rnacentral:piRNA from 1 species
UGGGGCUAGAUUAUGGAUAGGUUUGGU